rnacentral:lncRNA from 1 species
UUGCUUUGGGUUGUCCCUGAGGCGGAAAGGAGAGGGCUCUACCUCUCCCCAAGAGGAGGCCAGGAACGAUAGGAAGUAGAAGACCGAAAGGAAAUAGCAGUGACAAGUUUGCAGCUCCAGAGAAGCCACCGCCCCUUGUACUUGGAGGAACUGACCCCUGAAAACUGUGCGGCCGGUUGGGCUGAGCGUCUAGAGGGACUGAGCUGGACAACCACGGGCAAGCGAGGGCAGCUCCCAGCGGGUGGAGUCCGCGCGGGAUUCUGGUGCCACCUAGACGCCAGGGCGGGGACCGCAAGGGGCAGCGCCUGCACGGGAGUGGGGCCUCCUCCUUUCAGAUGAACACAGUUGUCUGCUGCCUCCCACGUUCCACUUCUUAAAUGAGCAUGUUUGUGCUGUAUAGGCAAGGGCAACAGAAAACGCAAAGUGUCCUUUCCAGGAGGGCCAAAGGAGGGGGGCAGGGACGCUGGGAAGAGGCGCCAAAGCGGAGGACGGCUGCAGGGGUGACUUCAGCGCUUGGCUACCAAGACCAGGUGUUUCUCUUCCUCCUGCCCUGGGUACCAUCCCACAGAGAGGCCAGGCCCACCUGCAGGUCCUCACCUCCACAGAGCCAGCCUCUCUUGAGCAGCUCCGCUCUGCCUUCUGAUACUCAUCGCCACAAGCACCUUGUCCUUCCUCGGCCUCCCACUCCCUCCCUCUGAGCCCGCGCCCUGCUCCCCUGCCUGGCGGUCAGUCGACUGCCCCGCCCCGCCUCCAAUUCAGGUGGACAGGCUUCAGCGUCCACUACCGGGGAAGAGGCAGCCCCGCACCCGUGCCUCCCCCCGCCUCUGGGCCGCUCCUUCCCAGCCUGAGCCUGACCGCAUGAGGAAGGCACAACCUCUCUGCUCCAGAGACCUGGAGAGGCCGGGAGGCCCUGUCCUGGGCAUGGAAGGCAGGAGGGAGCCCUGAGUGCGGCAGGAGGGAAGCAGCGCUUCAGGGGAAGGAUCUAAUGGCUGUGACCUGCGUGGGCUGCAGAAAAGAAAUCUCUAAUGCACUGAUGAAUGGAGGAAGGGCAUCACCAAGCCGGUCGGUAUAGGAAGGGGACCCAACAGACAUUCAACUCUUUGGUUUAUGCUCGGUCAUUGGUUUCCACACAUCUGUGCUUUCAGGAUGAAGAUGUGGUCUUCUAAACACGUCCAUUUUACCAAACUUGCUAAAUGUUUAAAUCUCUUAUAUACUUUCCUGAAUUUUUUGUUGCUUGGUCUACAUGAAGCAUAUUAAAAUCUCCCACUAUGAUGCUGGAUUUCUUAUUUUUCCAUAUAGCUGUUUUUGUUUUACAUAUUUUGAGGCAAUGUUAUUAGGUGCAUAACUUAGAAUCUUUGUUUUUCUGAAGAAUUGGGUAAGCAUAUCAUUAUGUAGUGGUUCGAUCUGUAGUAAUGCUUUUUGUCUUAAAGCCUAUUUCCAGGGCUGUGGUGUUCCACAGCUCCAGGGAGGACAUUCACAUUACAGUUUAUGCAAAUAAACUGAAAUUAGACAGUCUGUUUCGUUACUUUGGAGUGGCCUUAAUUCUGUGGGUUAUGAGUAUAACUUCUCAGUUUUAUUUUGGUUAGUAUCUGCCUGAUGUAUCUUUUCCAUCCUUUCUUAUAUUGUAGGUUGCCUAUGUCUCUCUCUUGUCAUCACAU